CCUGGCCUACGGGACGCAGCAGUGGGGAAUAUUGGUCAAUGGGCGCGAGCCUGAGCCAGCCAAGUCGCGUGAGGGAAGACGGUCCUAUGGAUUGUAAACCUCUUUUGUCGGGGAGCAAAAGACGCCACGCGUGGCGUUCCGAGAGUACCCGAAGAAAAAGCAUCGGCUAACUCCGUGCCAGCAGCCGCGGUAAUACGGAGGAUGCGAGCGUUAUCCGGAUUUAUUGGGUUUAAAGGGUGCGCAGGCGGAAGAUCAAGUCAGCGGUAAAAUUGAGGGGCUCAACCUCUUCGAGCCGUUGAAACUGG
rnacentral:rRNA from 1 species